AUUUUACCAGCUACACCCACACCCUCAAUUCUACUUGAAAUUAAUCUUAAAGAAAUUUUGAAUUUGCUGAUAAUUUGAGAUCAGUAAAGAUUUUCCCUGAAAGUUCUAAGCGUGUGUGCUGAGUUGGAAGGGCUGCAGAAGUGGGUCACGCUCACCCAACUGGAACUCGAAAGACUCAUAGAGAGCAAGCACUGGACAAUGGCCUGGUGUCCAUGAUGUAUCCCUGCCUGUCGUUACUAAUCCUACUCAGGGCCAAGCUGGAGAGAAAUAGUCCUUUCAGCCACAAGUCUUAAUAGUUUGUGUGAGUGUUAAUCUGCUUCUCAUAGAGUCACCAUGAAACACACCUUAGACAGAAUAAUACAAAGCUUUAACGAAGACCGCAGAAGAACUUCAUAUCUGAGUACCAUUUGCAAUCGAUUUACAAAUAAUGCCAGCAUCCUUAGCGACUUCUUCAGGCAAGGUUAUACUGGGGGUUUUUGAGGCUAAGCAGGUGAACUGGGAGUACCGCACACAGCAUGGCUUCCAGCCUGAAGUGACUGUAAAAUGCCAGUGAAUAGAGAGGCUCAAGGCUGAGUAAAGGAUCCUGCACACUCAACAGGCUCAUCCUUCUCUGCACCCGAGUUGUUCAUAGAGUCCCAGUUACAGAGCUUUCAGAAGGCGGAAUUCGUCCACAGCACACUAUUGAUGCCUAUCGAAUCUAAGGAAAUUAACUAAGAAGGGAAGAAAUAAUCUUCAUAGAAAAGGGAUUUGAGAACCCAGAAGAGGGUAUGGGCCUGGCAGUGUGCAUGCUGCAAACUAUGCACCAUCACUGGCCUAAAACGCACCUCUGUGUGCAUCAUUUACUCACGUUUAAAAAUCACCCUCUACUUGUUCUCCUGUGACCCUCAUUGGACUAUAUCCAGACAGCACUGAAAGUGAUAGCCAGAAAAAGUAGAAACAACCCAUGUGUUCAUCCACUGACGAAUGGAUCAAAACAUGUGGCGUGUCCAUCCAUACAAGGGGAUAUUACCCAGCAGUCAAAAGGAGCAAAGAACUGAUGUAUACCACACCAUGGCUGAUUCUCAACAGUAUGUUCAGUGAAAGAAACCAGUCAC
rnacentral:lncRNA from 1 species